AAUAGAUACCCCGGUAGUCCACGCUGUAAACGAUGGAUACUAGCUGUCGGGGUAUCGACCCCCUCGGUAGCGAAGCUAACGCGUUAAGUAUCCCGCCUGUGGAGUACGGUCGCAAGACUAAAACAUAAAGGAAUUGACGGGGAUCAGCACAAGCGGUGGAUCGUGUUCUUUAAUUCGAUGAUAAACGAAGAACCUUACCAGGGCUUGACAUCCAGGGAAGCACUACGAAAGUAGAGUGUGCCUUUUGGAACCCUGUGACAGGUGUUGCAUGGCCGUCGUCAGCUCGUGUCGUGAGAUGUUUGGUUAAGUCCAUCAACGAGCGCAACCCUUGUGAAUAGUUGUAUUUUUCUAUUCAGACUGCUCUAGUAAUAGGGAGGAAAGGAGGGGAUGAUGUCAGGUCAGUAUUACCCUUACGUCCUGGGCUAGAAACACGAUACAAUGGCAAGUACAAUGCGCAGCGAAGCAGUGAUGUGGAGCAAAUCGCACCAAAGCUUGUCCCAGUUCGGAUAAGAGGCUGAAACUCGCCUCUUU
rnacentral:rRNA from 1 species